AUCUCCUCUAGAAGUCCAUCUUCAAUCUCUAAAAAGAUUUCAAAGAUUUGAAAAAAAAGAUCCAGAUCAGCCAAGAACAAAGUCUUCACACAAGCUAGCACUCCCGAGAAGAUCGAUCAGAGCGGGGCUUCGAGUGGACUUUCUAUAGAGGUCGAGCAUAUAUGCAGCUACGAGCAACUAGUGAGGACCCUCUCUAUCAUGUUCAUUAACAGCGACGAUCAUCAACCCACGAUCAGAUAUCGAGUUCUAAACUCAG
rnacentral:lncRNA from 1 species